rnacentral:rRNA from 1 species
AACGAACGCUGGCGGCGUGCCUAACACAUGCAAGUCGAGCGCGAAAGGAGCAAUCCGAGUAGAGCGGCGCACGGGUGCGUAACACGUGGAUAAUCUGCCUCAGGGUUGAGGAUAACCUUCCGAAAGGUUGGCUAAUACUCGGUAAGCUUACGGUGACUUCGGUCGCUGUGAGAAAACUAGACCUCUAUUUAUAAGUUUAGGCCCAGAGAUGAGUCCGCGGCCCAUCAGCUAGUUGGCGGGGUAACGGCCAACCAAGGCUACGACGGGUAGCUGGUCGGAGAGGACGAUCAGCCACACUGGAACUGAGACACGGUCCAGACUCCUACGGGAGGCAGCAGUGGGGAAUUUUCCACAAUGGGCGAAAGCCUGAUGGAGCAACGCCGCGUGUGUGAUGAAGGUCUUCGGAUCGUAAAGCACUUUCGACUGGGACGAAAAACCUUUGGCUAACAUCCAGGGGCCUGACGGUACCAGGAGAAGAAGCACCGGCUAACUCUGUGCCAGCCGCCGCCGUAAUAC